rnacentral:rRNA from 1 species
UUUAAAUUAGGAUUUUAAAGUUUUUUGAAUUUGUUUUAAAAGUAAUUUUAUUAAAUAAAUUUAGGAUAUAAAGAAUAUUUUCUUUACCUUUUGUAUAAUGGUUUUAAGAUUUAAACUAAAUUUUUUGGUUUCACUAAAUAAGUAGAUAUACCCGCAAUAUUAAUUGAAUGUUUCAAUAUUCUUUUUUAUUUGCUGUGUGUUUGAUAUUAGAAUCGAUACUUAUAAUAAAUUGGUGGUGCAUUGUGUUUUAAGAGUUUUGAUGUAGCCUUAAAGGGACAGCUUUUAAGGCAAAAUAAUUUAAGCACUUUAGUUGUUUAAAAAAUAUAUUUGUUUUAAUAUAUAAACAGGUGUUUACUUUUGCGCCUUUAAGUAUUUUGAAAAAAGUAUAAUUUAAUUAUUCUAUUAAUAGAUUAAAAGUUUUUAAGAUGAAAAUAUAGUUAAAAUUAUAAGAGGAAUUUGGCAAAUAAAAAGUUUACAGUUGAUAAGUUUACUAAAAACUAAGUCAGUUGAUUAUCUAAUAACUGAUGGGGCCUGCUCUAUGUUUUAUAAAUGGCGGUUUAAGGCUUUAAUGUAGCGUAAUAAUUUGUCUAUUAAUUGUAGUCUAGUGAAAGGCUGAAUUAACUGGUUCUUUCUUUUUUAAUUUUUUAUAAAUUUCUUAAAGGUGAAAAUGCCUUUUUAAUUAUAAAAGAAAAAAAGUCCCUAGGUAGUUUAAGUUGAUUAGUUAAACUAGGAGGCUUUUACUGGGGCAGUAACAGUUUAUAAAUAAUUUCUGUGUUUAAUAUUUUUAAUUGUAAAUUUAUACUAACCCUAGGGUUAACAGCGCAAUUAACAGGGUGAGUUCAUAUUAAUCUGUUAGUUUACGACCUCGAUGUCGACUUAUAAUAAGUUUAAGUGCAGAAGCUUAAAUUAAAUGUUUGUUCACCAUAUAGUUUUUUACGUGAGUUGGGUUAAGAACGGGGUAACUUAGUUUGGAUUUUUUCUUUAAGUUAAUUUUUUAUUAGUACGAAAGGAAUUUAAAAUUAAUAUGAAAU